rnacentral:lncRNA from 1 species
UUCCUUCCCCGCAUCUGCUAGAGAGCAGGGCAAGGCCAAAGGGUCAGAGGCUCGAGGAAUGCGGGGUGGUGUCGGGGGGUAAAAGGACAUACCUGAGAAGGCCCCAGACCCUCGCUCCACCAGGAGGUAAGGAAACUGAAGCCUCAGGCGAAGAGAUGAUUUCAAAGAACUUCAGAGCUAAGAGUCUUCUUCGACUAAAGAACUUGAAGGGCCAGUUCCAGAGACCCUGUGACCUCAGGCUCCAGAGAUGGCUCCGUAAGGCAAACUCACCAUGACCACUGGUCAAUGACUCACUUCUCCUCCCAGGCGCCCUCCCAGGGAUGAGCGCUCCUUCACUCUGCCUCCCUCAGCCCUUGCUCCGGUCUCUCUGCAGCUGGGGUCAGUGUUCCCAGUGAAGUCAGCGUGUGGAGCACACAUGCCUCGUACCCACAUUCAUGCCCAUGUGUGCGUGUGCACACGCAUGUGGGGCCUGUGUGUCUCUUUCUCUGAGACCCACUCAAGAUCUGCAUGCACCUCGGGCCCCCUCCCAGAGUGCUGCAGCCAGAUGCACCUGGAGCCCCACCCGUCAGCCCAGGGAGACAUGCCCCUGCUGAAUUCAGAGAAUGAUCCAGAAGGAUUCAGGAAAUGAGGACCAUUCAUGAACCCAGCGACUGAUGAAGAGCACCUUCCUCACAUCCGCUGCCAAACUCACCCGAAAAGAAGAGACAGAGGAAGACCCCAGAGGAUUGCAAUUUGAGGACACCUCCAACUCAUGCUCACUGCACUUGGUCCAAAAUGAUCAGAGGGGAGAUUUGGCUCAUGCUCUGGCCUCACUGGCUCCCAUCACCAUUGCCUCUGCCCCUCCAGCCUCUGCCAGGCGCCUGGCUCUGACCCUUGCUGACACUUCAGGCCCCUCACCCUUAGAACUGACUGCCAAAGGGCUAGUUGCUUAGUCUUCAAGUAAAGGGGGUCUGGAGGACUAUGGAGGAGGCAUAGUGCCUAGAGAGCCCCUCGCCUCAAGACACCCCCACUGCACUUGGGAGGAAAGGCAGGGCUGGGGGAUGGAGGCACUGUGGGGGCCUUUCCUAUUUGGCAGCAGCUGCAGCCAUGCGCACCAUAGCCACAGCACGCAGCACACAUCUUCUGUCUCACAGUGAUUGAAGAUUUUGCCAAACCACCGGUCAGACAGAUUUCCCCCCAAGCCCCACAUUAAUUGAUUUUUGGAUUCUGCAACCCAAGCUCAAGCUCAAGCUCCGAGCUCACUGCUGAGCUCAGACUCCUGGGUGUCCCACAACGGCUUCGAUGUGGAGGCCAUGACGCUGAAGCCAAAGUUGUCAGACACCUGGGCUGCACUUGCCUGUGCAACGAGCCUGGGAAAGCAGCUCUGGGGAUUGCACCCACAGUGCCAGGGCUCGGGAGCCUCUGAGCUCAGGGAGGCCUUCAGGGACAGGCGCUCGGCCAGCUGCCUGGGUAGGCUACUAAUGAGCAGAUGUGUUCCAGGCUGUCUGCCCAAGGGGCAGCUGCACCUGGGCUGGAGAGCUGAGACUCUCUGGGGUUCUGCAGCCUCUGUCCUCCUCAGCCUGGCCCGACAGCCCCUCGUUCUGAUACAGGAGGGCACAGCUGCCUGACGCCCCUCCUUCCCCAUCUCUGCCUCUCUAAUCUUCCUUGAGGAAGAUUCCAUCAGAGGUUUUACUUACAUAUUCCUACACCAUGCCUGGAACAUAGUAGGUACUCAAUAAAUCCAACUUUUCCUGAGUUAGUGGUGAGGAAAAGCUGGACUCAGGAUCAGGCUGCCUGUGAAGCCUGGCCUGUAGCCUGCCAGCUCUCCCAGCCUCAGGGUCCUCACACCCACACGUGUGUGCAGUAACAGAGCACUUCUUGCCUGCAACAGUGCCUGGUUCCCAGUGUAUGCCACUGGGAUCCGUAUUAUUAUUAAGUGAUCCGUAUUAUUAUUUUAUCUUAAGAGAGGAAUCCAGCUGUGUCCAAAUGAGGGGUUGGGACAAAAUAAAAGCUAGAAUCCAGUCUUGCAGGUGGGGACAUGGCACCUGGGUCUCCACACUGACCCGUGCUGCCCACCCUCUCACAUGCUAUCUAGAGACGGCACUCCUUGUGGAAUGCUGCAGGAGGUGCUCCACUGGCACGAAGUGGGUGGGCUCUUAGCACAGACCCAAACAGUAAGUGACUUUUCACACUCCCAUCGCAUCUCCAAAGCUACAUGCAAAACACUGAUCUUCACAGGGGUUAGAACACAACUUCCAGAAGGCCUCUUUCUUUUUUUUUUUUUUCUCCCUUUUUUUUUUUUAUUAUUAUACUUUAAGUUCUGAGAUACAUGUGCAGAACAUGCAGGUUUGUUACAUAGGUAUACAAGAGCCAUGGUGGUUUGCUGCACCCAUCAACCCGUCAUCUACAUUACGUAUUUCUCCUAAUGCUAUCCCUCCCCUAACCCCCAACCCCCUGGCAGGCCCCAGUGUGUGAUGUUCCCCUCCCUGUGUUCAUGUGCUCUCACUGUUCAACUCCCACUUAUGAGGGAGAACAAGCAGUGUUUGGUUUUCUGUUCCUGUGUUAGUUUGCUGAGAAUGAUGGUUUCCAGCUUCAUCCAUGUCCCUGCAAAGGACAUGAAGUCAUCCUUUUUGAUGGCUGUAUAGUAUUCCAUGGUGUAUAUGUGCCAUGUUUUCUUUAUCCAGUCUAUCAUUGAUGGGCAUUUGGGUUGGUUCCAAGUCUUUGUUAUUGUGAACAGUGCUGCAAUAAACAUACGUGUGCAUGCGUCUUUAUAGUAGAAUAAUUGAUAAUCCUUUUGUUAUAUACCCAGUAAUGGCAUUGUUGGGUCAAAUGGUAUUUCUUGUUCUAGAUCCUUGAGGAAUCGCCACACUGUCUUUCACAAUGGUUGAACUGGUUUACACUCCCACCAACAGUGUAAAAGCAUGCCUAUUUUUCCACAUCCUCUCCAGCAUCUGUUGUUGCCUGACUUUUUAAUGAUCACCAUUCUAACUAGCAUGAGAUGGUAUCUCAUUAUGGUUUUGAUUUGCAUUUCUCUAAUGACCAUUUCUCUAAUGAUGAGCUUUUUUUCAUAUGUUUGUUGGCUGCAAAAAUGUCUUCUUUUGAGAAGUGUCCAUUCAUAUCUUUUGCCCAUUUUUUGAGUGGGGUUGCUUUUUUCUUAUAAACUUGUUAAAGUUCCUUAUAGAUUCUGGAUAUUAGCCCUUUGUCAGAUGGAUAGAUUGCAAAAAUUUUCUCCCAUUCUGUAGGUUGUCUGUUCACUCUGAUGAUAGUUUCUUUUGCUGUGCAGAAGCUCUUUAGUUUAAUUAGAU